CUUACUACAUCUCAAUUCCAUCAAACACAAACCUCUGUCCUCAGUCUUCUAAUUUGCAAAUUCUAAACUAGUUCUUCUUCAUCUUGUUUUGCCAAUCAUGUCUUGUUGCGGAGGAAAGUGCGGGUGUGGACCUAACUGCGGCUGCGGUAGCAGCUGUAACGGAUGCGGCAUGUACCCAGAUCUUGAGACCUCUAACACCCAGAGCCUCAUCUUUGGAGUUGCUCCUCAACAAUCAUUCUCCUCUGGAUCUGAAAUGGGAGUUGAAGGAGAUGGUUGCGGUUCUGGUUGUAAGUGCGGGGAUAGCUGCAAAUGUGGCGAUAGCUGCAAAUGCUAGUAAAGGGGUCUCAACUCAAUGCUGGUUCUGUGUAUAGUGGACUUGUAUUAGUACUGGUGGAGGAGUUUGAUGAUGUGAUCCAUAUAUCCCUUAUCCUGUUGUUGUGACAAUAAAUUGUAGGAUAUGGUGUGGUUGUUCUCACCCCCACCAUGUCUAACAUAACUAAUUAGUAACGAUUUCCUUUUGUUGUUGUUGUCGUCUUCUGAUUUGAUUUGAUUUUCCUUGUUAAAAUCAAAAAAAAGAAGUAAAAUUAAGCAAAAUAUGUGUGGAACUGUUGUUGGAUCAAA